rnacentral:rRNA from 1 species
AGAACUGGCACGAAACCCUAAGGCGCAAUGAAAGUGAAGGUCAGACAUCGCACUGGCCGAGGCAGGAUCCGUCCGGGUGAGCGAAGCUCUUCUUCCUUUCGCGGGUACAUACCCCGCGGGGGAGCUCGGCGGCGCACUGCCGGCCCAUCUCGACCGCUUCUUGUCGGCGAGGUGGAGCAAGAGCGCACACGUUGGGACCCGAAAGAUGGUGAACUAUGCUCGGGCAGGACGAAGCCAGAGGAAACUCUGGUGGAGGUCCGUAGCGAUUCUGACGUGCAAAUCGAUCGUCGGACCCGAGUAUAGGGGCGAAAGACUAAUCGAACCGUCUAGUAGCCGUU